rnacentral:rRNA from 1 species
GACGAACGCUGGCGGCGUGCUUAAUACAUGCAAGUCGAACGGAAAGGCCCUGCUUUUGUGGGGUGCUCGAGUGGCGAACGGGCGAGUAACACGUGAGUAACCUGCCCUUGACUUUGGGAUAACUUCAGGAAACUGGGGCUAAUACCGGAUAGGAGCUCCUGCUGCAUGGUGGGGGUUGGAAAGUUUCGGCGGUUGGGGAUGGACUCGCGGCUUAUCAGCUUGUUGGUGGGGUAGUGGCUUACCAAGGCUUUGACGGGUAGCCGGCCUGAGAGGGUGACCGGCCACAUUGGGACUGAGAUACGGCCCAGACUCCUACGGGAGGCAGCAGUGGGGAAUAUUGCACAAUGGGCGGAAGCCUGAUGCAGCAACGCCGCGUGCGGGAUGACGGCCUUCGGGUUGUAAACCGCUUUCGCCUGUGACGAAGCGUGAGUGACGGUAAUGGGUAAAGAAGCACCGGCUAACUACGUG